CCUACGGGUGGCAGCAGUGAGGAAUAUUGGUCAAUGGGCGAGAGCCUGAACCAGCCAAGUCGCGUGAAGGAUGACGGCCCUACGGGUUGUAAACUUCUUUUGUCAGGGAGCAAUUGGGUCCACGCGUGGGCUUAGCGAGAGUACCUGAAGAAAAAGCAUCGGCUAACUCCGUGCCAGCAGCCGCGGUAAUACGGAGGAUGCAAGCGUUACUCGGAACCACUUGGCGUAAAGAGCGCGUAGGCGGGAGAGCAAGUCAGAUGUGAAAUCCUUGGGCUUAACCAUAGAACUGCAUUUGAAACUGUUAGUCUAGAGUAUUGGAGAGGUAGGUGGAAUUCUUGGGGUAGGGGUGAAAUGCGUAGAGAUCAAGAGGAAUACU
rnacentral:rRNA from 1 species